rnacentral:pre_miRNA from 1 species
UCAGCACGGUGUCUGACGAUUUGGCCCACGUGCUGAAUAAGCUCCCCAGCGCGUGGAGCGAAACGUCGGACACCGUGCCGA